CCCUCGGUAAACCUUAAGGUCAUCAUAAUUAAAUCUCCCCUCAGUAAACCUAAAGGUCAGCAUAAUUACAUGUACAUAGCCCCUCGGUAAACCUAAAGGUCAUCAUAAUUACAUCUCCCCUCGGUAAACCUAAAGUUCAUCAUAAUAACAUCUCCCCCUCCGUUAACUUAAAGGUCAUCAUAAUUCUAUAGCCCCUCGGUAAACAUUAAGGUCAUCAUAAUGAUAUUGCCCCUCAGUAGCCCUUUAGG